CUGAGCUUAGCUGCAAGAACAGAACAGUGGCUUGUAACGUCCCUGUGCCUUUAUUCAGUUUAAUAGUCAAUGAGCCUAGAUACAAGGGAUCCCUUCUGAAGGGCAGGAGGAUAUUAUGGGCACUACUGAAUAUUUUUAGAGUGGGUGGGUUUUUUUGUUUUUUUCUUUUUUGGGUUGUUUUGUUUGUUUUGUUUUGUUUUGUUUUUUGGAAUGCGGACUUUUUGAUACAGGCUGAGCAUCCCAAAUCUGAAAUCUGCAAUGCUCCAAAAUCUGAAACUUUUUGAGCACCGACAUCACACUCAAAGGAAAUGCUCACUGGAGCAUUUUGGGUUUCAGAUCUUAGGACUGGGGAUGUUCAACCAAUAAGUAUAACGCAAAUAUUCCAAAAUUGGAAAAAAAUCAAAUUCUAAAACGCUUCCGGUUCCAAGCAUUUCAGAGAAGGAAUAUUCUGCUUGUACUAACUAUGCCACGAAGUUGCUGUGUUUAACGUGGCGGCCUACAGAGGAGGAGGCUGUACCUCAUGGUCCGGGGAGACGGUGCUCUCAAAAGUUCCAGGUGCAGCCAACUCGGCUGUGAAAAUUCAACGUGUGCACAGAAGUGGGUACUCUGCCGUGCAUUUGCACAGAGGUUUCUCAUGAAAAGAAACAAUUUGUGGAACACCCGUCAUGAAUACAGAAUUUGGGCAUAAAGAAAUGUUCUCCUGCAUAAUGGUAUUCUUCAAUUCACGAAUGGAAAUGUUAUAUUUCAAGGCAACAGUGUUGUGAGCCUUUACAAUAAGCACAAAGCACUACCCCAGUCCGGCAAUAGCUGAAAACCCGGGGGAUUUUGGUGUUACCAAGUAGAACUGGGCUGCUAAAUUGUGGCUGAGUGUGAGACACUGACCGUGGGUUGGAUCUUGCACUUCAAGAGCCCUGUUCCCAGAGCCCUGGGCUGUGUUUCUCAAUCUCACUCAGCUUGUUUCCUGACUCAGGGAGCAGGUAUGAUUCCUGUACCUGCCUCUUGGUACUGCUUUGAGGGUUACAAAGGCUAAUGCAUAGAGUAUUUAACAGCACCAGAGACAUGCCGAUUGUCCCUAAGUUGUAGAAAGGCUUAUCAUUCUCCACUGUGCUGCUCCCAACAGAGCACUCUGCAAUGGUUAACUUGAGGGGACCAACCCUUGCUAUACCCUCUCUCCUUUGGCCUUGUUUCCAAAUAUUUGUAGGAGUUGUCCAGACCAAAGACUUUCACAUGUGGGCAGUGAGUUGAAACCCUGUCUGUAUCAGUUAGCCAUUGCCACAAUGAUGCCGGGUAACAAACUCCCCCACAAAACUUGGUGGCUUAAAACAACAAUGAAGCAUUCUCAGCAAUGUGUGGGGCAGCUGGCAUCAACCGAUCUAGGCUGAGCUAUACUCCAAACUGCUCUGGUUGGGGAAACUUUGGCAGCAGCUCUACCAGUACAUGGCUCUCAUCCUGCUUCUGCAGCCAGGGGCCUCUCCAGGGCAUGUGCUUCUGAUGAAAAUAGCAGGAAGCACUCGAGGGCUCAUGGAAACCCUCCAGGUCGCCUAAGGUGUAGGCUCAAAACCAGUCGCUGCCACUUCUGCCCAGAUAUCGUUAACAAGAGCCAAGUCCAAGGUGAAAGGACAGGAGCACUCCCUUAAAAGGGUCGUGGCAAGGAUGUGCUGGUAGAGAGGGGGGAAGAACUGGGGCCAGUAAUUCAACCAACUGCACACUGUAUCUCAUCUUUUGCAGAAAAGGGAUGGAACAAAUUUGGAGCACCUACUUUGGGCCAGGACUCAUUUAAGCUUCAAGAAACCUAGGAAGGAGGCAACUUCCCGCCAUCUUAUAGGUGGAGAGACUGAGGGUAAGCAGUUUGGGCUGGACGCAGAUGGACGCCCUUCUGAUGAUCUCAGCGAGACACUACCCACUCAUGGUCAGCUAGGAAUCAAGUGGAGGCUGACUGGUCUCACCCACCUGUCUGGUAGUUGAUGGCUACGGGCAACACGAAUGGCUGAGCCAUGUGCUCUCAUGAACCCAGCUUCCCAGGGCAGCAAGAGAGCCAGCCCCAAUGUGUGAACACUUUUUAAAGCCUUUGGUGGCUUGUUUGCUAAUGUCCCAGGAGCCACGUAAGACAUAAGGCCAGUGCAGAGCCAGUGUGGGAGGGGACUAUCCAAGGGGCAGAUAGAGGAAGUUAAACAAAUUAUGGCCGUUUUUGUAAUCUGCAACAAGAACUCCGUUCAAGGAACACACUAAAUGCAUGGCAGAGCUUCCUCUUUGAUCUUCUGAGCUGACAGGCAUGUGGUGAGCACAGCCUCAUGUGUCCCUAAUGUGUUCCAGACACACUUAGCACUUCCCACACAGCCAUGUAAACUGCCCGGUCCUCACCGAACUUUCUACUCCGACUGAUCUUGAGAGGCACGUGUCUCAGGAUUUAAAUAAAAAUGAACAAAUAAAUGUAUUUAUAAA
rnacentral:lncRNA from 10 species